GAUUAACGCUAGCGGCAGGCAUAAUACAUGCAAGUUGAACGGCAGCACAGGUAGCAAUACUGGGUGGCGAGUGGCGCACGGGUGCGUAACACGUAUGCAACCUACCCUAUACAGGCGAAUAACCUUUAGAAAUGAGGGCUAAUACGCCGUAGUAUUACAGAUGGGCAUCUAUUUGUAAUUAAAGAUUUAUCGGUAUAGGAUGGGCAUGCGUCCCAUUAGUUAGUUGGUAAGGUAACGGCUUACCAAGACGAUGAUGGGUAGGGGAUCUGAGAGGACUUACCCCCACACUGGUACUGAGACACGGACCAGACUCCUACGGGAGGCAGCAGUAAGGAAUAUUGGGCAAUGGCCGCGAGGCUGACCCAGCCAUGCCGCGUGCAGGAAGACGGCCUUAUGGGCUGUAAACUGCUUUUAUACGGGAAUAAUAGAGUGUACGCGUACAUUUAUGCAAGUAUCGUAUGAAUAAGCAUCGGCUAACUCCGUG
rnacentral:rRNA from 1 species